rnacentral:rRNA from 1 species
CAGUAGCCGCGGUAACACGUAGGGUGCAAGCGUUAAUCGGAAUUACUGGGCGUAAAGCGUGCGCAGGCGGUUAUAUAAGACAGAUGUGAAAUCCCCGGGCUCAACCUGGGAACUGCAUUUGUGACUGUAUAGCUAGAGUACGGCAGAGGGGGAUGGAAUUCCGCGUGUAGCAGUGAAAUGCGUAGAUAUGCGGAGGAACACCGAUGGCGAAGGCAAUCCCCUGGGCCUGUACUGACGCUCAUGCACGAAAGCGUGGGGAGCAAACAGGAUUAGAUACACCUGUAGUCCCUGUCUCUUAUAA